UCCCUUCUCUCCUUCCUUUUCCUUUCCUCCUUCCUUUCCUCCUCUCCUCUUUUCCCUCACAUUGCGCCUAUUAGUAUUCUAGUAGGCAUGCCUGUUCGAGCGUCAUUUCAACCCUCAAGCCCUUGUUGCUUGGUGUUGGGAGCUUGCUGUGAAACGCAACUCCUCAAAGCUAGCUGGCAGAGUCGGGAUGCACUCUAAGCGUAGUAAACUUGAUAGUCUCGCUUCUGCAGUUGUCCCGGCCGUCUUGCCAUAAAAGCCCAAACUUUUUUGUUUUCUAUGGUUAACCUCGGAUCAGGUAGGAAUACCCGCUGAACUUAAGC
rnacentral:misc_RNA from 1 species